ACUCAGCAGGGUGGGUAUGUGCCUAGGAGUACUCUGUGGGUUUUUCCAAGGACAAGGGCCACAGAGUACUCCUAGGCACAUACCCACCCUGCUGAGU
rnacentral:miRNA from 1 species